rnacentral:lncRNA from 1 species
CUGGCAUGGCUAAGCAAAACUUAAACUUCCUCUGAGAAUUACAGGAAUUACAGGACCUGACAAAGCUAUAAAGAUUAAAACCUAUAGGAAGAAAAUCUGAACCAGAAACAGUAUGGCAGAAUUGGGAUCUGACUCACAGAGGGAAGAACUUAUAAUUCUUCACAGGGCAC